GGAAACCGGGGCUAAUACCGGAUGGUUGUUUGAACCGCAUGGUUCAAACAUAAAAGGUGGCUUCGGGCUACCACUUACAGAUGGACCCGCGGGCGCAUUAGCUAGUUGGUGAGGUAACUGGCUCACCAAGGCAACGAUGCGUAGCCGACCUGAGAGGGUGAUCGGCCACACUGGGACUGAGACACGGCCCAGACUCCUACGGGAGGCAGCAGUAGGGAAUCUUCCGCAAUGGACGAAAGUCUGACGGAGCAACGCCGCGUGAGUGAUGAAGGUUUUCGGAUCGUAAAGCUCUGUUGUUAGGGAAGAACAAGUACCGUU
rnacentral:rRNA from 1 species